GCUGUGGGCAACCUCAGUUUCACAUCCAUGUUGGUGCCAGUCCCACCCCUGCACUGCACAGUCUAAUACCGGCUCCUCUCUCUUGCCAGCACCAUGACACCUGCUCUUGAGCCAGAGCUGGAGAUCCACCUCCUUCGAGCUGCCCUGCACGCAGUCUUCACCCUGGGCAUGGAGAAGGACACCACCCAAGUCCAGGAUCUGCAUAGGGUCUUGCCAGACCUCCUGGAUGCCAUGCUGGAGAACCUGCUGGCAAAGUCCCCAGACACCAACAGGCUCCACUACAUCUUGGAGC